UCAAUAAAUCCCUUAAUAACUUCUUAAACAAAAAAAACUUGCAAGUGCAAAUAUCUCUGAAACUAAAAAAGCUAGAAAACCGCAAUUUGGUACAAACGUUAUACAGGGAGAGCGAACCACAACCACCAUAUUUUUGGUUAUAGGGUUUCGUAUAAACUGCCGAUAGAAGAAAAAGUCAAGAAAACGCCGAGAAAAUUUCAUGAGUAUUAAAGUUGGUCUGCGAAAAAAUAUGCAAUAAAAAUACCUCGAGAGCGAUAUGAAAUUUUGAACAUUUGGUAUUAGAGGUAGUCGACUGCACAAUACGUCCGCCUUCUCCUAGACUGUAUGAAAACCUGAAAUGAAAAAAUUUGAAUCUUGGAUGAUGUCUCAAGACUUGUAAAAAUAUUUUGUUUUCGUCACGAUAUAUUGCCUUUUACUGGUUUGUAUAUGGUAAUAAUACAAUAUUAUUUAUUUAUAAUAGAAUUGAAACAAUUUAAAAUAUAAUUCGUUUUAUAUUGUGUAUA